rnacentral:lncRNA from 1 species
ACAAAUAUUUUAAAUAUAAAAAAAAACAAAGAUUUCUUUGUGGUGGAAAAAUGUACCACAUAAAGGCUUGAAGACAAUAUUAUUGUACAGGGAGCUUGAGGCUCCAGAAGACAAUAUUCUUUGUGGUGGAAAAAGCUCCCACCGCGUGAGGCUCCAGAAGGGAAGAAACAAUAUGGUUUCUUUUUUGAUACAAAAGUGAAGUUUC